GCGGAUGUGGCGGAAUGGCAGACGCGCUAGCCUUAGGAGCUAGUGUCCUCGACGUGGGGGUUCAAGUCCCUUCAUCCGCACCA
rnacentral:tRNA from 2 species